rnacentral:rRNA from 1 species
GACGAGCCACCCGAACGUUAUUCGGAAUUACUGGGCUUAAAGGGUGCGUAGGUGGCGCUGUAAGUCAGGUGUGAAAUUUCCGAGCUUAACUCCGAAACUGCAUUCGAUACUGCGGUGCUUGAGGACUGGAGAGGAGACUGGAAUUUACGGUGUAGCAGUGAAAUGCGUAGAGAUCGUAAGGAAGACCAGUGGCGAAGGCGGGUCUCUGGACAGUUCCUGACACUGAGGCACGAAGGCCAGGGGAGCAAACGGG